rnacentral:lncRNA from 1 species
CUAUAUCUAGUGGAAGUCUAGAAGGACUUGGUAAUGAUUGUUAUGUUGCUACUAAUAUCUCUGUCAAAAGAUUGGUUCAGAGGAGGAUAUAAAAUUCCGGAGAUUACCUUCCACAGUAGGUGGCGUCGGAUCAGUCAACUGUAUAUCUAGUGGAAGUCUAGAAGGACUUGGUAAUUAUUGUUAUGUUGCUACUAAUAUCUCUGUCAAAAGAUUGGUUCAGAGGAGGAUAUACAAUUCCGGAGAUUACCUUCCACAGUAGGUUGCGUCGGAUCAGUCAACUGUAUAUCUAGUGGAAGUCUAGUAGGACUUGGUAAUUAUUGUUAUGUUGCUACUAAUAUCUCUGUCAACAAAUUGGUUCAGAGGAGGAUAUAAUAGUCAGGAGAUUACCAUCCAUAGUGGUGUGGGAUCAGAAAAUUGUCUUACUAGUGGAAGUCUAGCAGAAGGACUUGAUUUAAUAGGCAGUGAUUAUAAAGUAAGUAGUUGGUGUUGCCAUCAUUAUACACCCACACUGCAUAAUGAUACUGGUCUCUGUUUCACGCAACUACGUCCCUUUAAUAUCUUUCGUCCCUCUUUUGAGAGAAAGAUGUUUUAUCAUCUUACUUUUAUAUCCCGUAAUGAUGCUUUUGUAAAACUUUUUGUAUUCUUGUCUUUCUGUCUUGUGAAGUUUCUUUGCAACAUAUAUGACGUGGCUCUGUACUUAUACAUCCAGUCAUUGUGUUGAUGUAUUAUGGUAAAUUGUGUAUGCUCCUUGUUAAAUUUUGCUUAUAUGAUAGGUCAAUAUGCCGUUUUGGGCUUCUUUGUUACAUUUGUUUUUAUAGUGAUUACGAUUGUUACACAAUAUUAACUGUUGUACCCCUUUUUUACUUAUUAAUGUCCAUUAUUUUUGUUCACAUAUCGUUGUCAAUAUAAUGGAAUUUGAUGCGACUGUCUUACAAGUGAGAGGUUAAGCUAGAUUUAAACCCAGGUUUAAUCCACCGUUUUCAGCAUAAUAAAUGCCUGUAUCGCAUCAUAGAUAUGACAAUUGGUUCUACAUUCGUUUGAUGUGUUUGGAGUUAACAAAUUGAAGGAAAUGUCUUUCAGAAAAAUCUACUUUUCAAGGAACUGACCAAAUUUUAAUCUUCCAAGGAAAGCAUAUUUAAAUCAAAAUUAAAUAUACGUGCCUUGAUUGUCAAACAAAGAGGAGUCUAUAUGAAAUUUCACUCUGCUUUCAAUAUGACCAAUGGAUAUCUCAAGCACAACCAUUGAUAAACAGACGAAGUAUAUACCAAUCAGCGGAUAAUUUUUAAACGAGAGGCUGUCACAACGACAGCAAACCGGAUUUAUUAAUAUUUAUUUGUGUCCUGGCAAUAUCAC